rnacentral:rRNA from 1 species
GACGAACGCUGGCGGCGUGCUUAACACAUGCAAGUCGAACGAAGUGGCGAACGGGUGAGUAACGCGUAAUCAACCUGCCCUUCAGAGGGGGACAACAGUUGGAAACGACUGCUAAUACCGCAUACUGAAGGAGGGGAUUGCGUCUGAUUAGCUAGUUGGAGGGGUAACGGCCCACCAAGGCGAUGAUCAGUAGCCGGGCCGCGAGGAUGAACGGCCAAAUGUGGACUUGGACAAGGCCCAGACUCCCAAGGGAGGCAGCAAUGGGGAAUUUUCCGACAUGGACGAAAGUCUGACGGAGCAACGCCGCGUGAGUGAUAACGGCCUUCGGGUUGGAAAGCUCUUUUAAUCGGGACGCAGUACCGGAAUAGAAAGCCACGGCUAACUACGUGCCAGCAGCCGCGGUAAUUC